UACGGAGGGUGCAAGCGUUAUCCGGAUUCACUGGGUUUAAAGGGUGCGUAGGCGGCCAAGUAAGUCAGGAGUGAAAGUUUGCGGCUCAACCGUAAAAUUGCUUUUGAUACUGCUAGGCUGGAAUUAGGAUGAGGUCAGCGGAAUGUGGCAUGUAGCGGUGAAAUGCAUAGAUAUGCCAUAGAACACCAAUUGCGAAGGCAGCUGGCUAGACCUGGAUUGACGCUGAGGCACGAAAGCGUGGGGAGCGAACAGG
rnacentral:rRNA from 1 species